rnacentral:misc_RNA from 1 species
GACAUUCCUCACAGACAUCCGAAAGUCGUUCGGACCCCGUGCCCUCAUCGUUUUCCGCAUCCCAGCGUCCGAACACGAAUUCCGCUUUGAGUUCCACCCGCAACCGCGCCGAAUAAACGGGCAGCCUUAGGCGAACGGGGAAAGAUUAACAACCGAAUUCCGUAGGUAUGCAACACAGGAUGAAGAGGAACGCAAGGCAGGACGUCGCCGCUCCAGGCAGGGAUCCAACCAC